AUGCGUAAACGCCAGAUCAGCUCCGGUGUUUGUCAUACCCGGAUGUUCGCCCAGACUUCCAGCACAGGAAGUCUUCUGAUGCACACCUUCCAACUUUCCAAUAUGGACUCACACCAGAUUCUGCAGAGAGCUCCAGGAGUUAGACUUUGGCCUGGAUCCUCCAGCUCUCCAGCACACAAGAUGGCCUCUUCACAUCCUUCCUCAACUGACUCUGCAGAUGGCUGUGGUAAGCUUCCCUUGAAGAGAUUAUGCGUAGUGAAAUAAGCCAGUUGGAAAGGGACAAAUACUGCACAAUUUCUUUUAUAUGAGGAGGAGGAGUCUAAUAAAGACCUAAAGUAAAAUGGUAGGCGCUGGGGGUUAGAGGCUAGGGGUAUGGAGACGGUGUUUAAUGGUACCAAAGUUUCAGUUUGAGAAUACAAAAAUGUUCUGGAGGUGGAUGGGGGUGAUCGUUGUACAGUAUGAAUGUACUUAUAGCCAAGAACUGUAUACUUAAACAUGGUUAAAAUGGUAAUUUUUGCUAUAUAUAUAUAUUUUACUACUAAAACCCUCAUGUAUGAAUGUUU
rnacentral:lncRNA from 1 species